CCUACGGGUGGCAGCAGUCGAGAAUCAUUCACAAUGGGGGAAACCCUGAUGGUGCGACGCCGCGUGGGGGAAUGAAGGUCUUCGGAUUGUAAACUCCUGUCAUGUGGGAGCAAAUGAAAAAGAUAGUACAACAAGAGGAAGAGACGGCUAACGCUGUGCCAGCAGCCGCGGGAAUACAGAGGUCUCAAGCGUUGUUGGGAAUCACUGGGCGUAAAGCGUGCGUAGGCUGUUUCGUAAGUCGUGUGUGAAAGGCGCGGGCUCAACCCGCGGACGGCACAUGAUACUGCGAGGCUAGAGUGAUGGAGGGGGAACCGGAAUUCUCGGUGUAGCAGUGAAAUGCGUAGAUAUCGGGAGGAACACUCGUGGCGAAGGCGGGUUCCUGGACAUUAACUGACGCUGAGGCACGAAGGCCAGGGGAGCGAAAGGGAUUAGAUACCCCAGUAGUC
rnacentral:rRNA from 1 species